CACCGCCUUCUCUCUUCAAUUCUCUGUAAUCAUAUCGUUCCAUUGAUCAAUCGAUUUUCGCAAUCAAGUUCAUGUAAAGAUUUGUUUUCUGCAUCUUCUUCAUCAUCGUCUGUCUUUUCAUCCAUCUAUUCCGGGUUUUUUUUCAUUAAUCCAUAUCGACAUUUGUUUACAAUAUGCCUGGGUCAUCUUCAUCUUCAUUAAGUAUCAGAGAACCCUGUUUCUGUAGGCAUAUGAAAAAAGCAGAUGAGAUAAUUCUGGUAAUUAAUAUUUCAUAUUUUCUGUUGUUAUUAUUAUAUUAAAUUUGUUACACUUU